rfam:Schistosoma mattheei strain Denwood, Zambia genome assembly, scaffold: SMTD_scaffold0005087
GCACUGCUGAGGAGUCCCACAAUAGGACGAAGUGGCCGUCCAGUGC